CAUGAUGUCGACAGAGUUUGAUCCUGGCUCAGAUUGAACGCUGGCGGCAGGCCUAACACAUGCAAGUCGAACGGUAGCACAGAGAGCUUGCUCUCGGGUGACGAGUGGCGGACGGGUGAGUAAUGUCUGGGAAACUGCCUGAUGGAGGGGGAUAACUACUGGAAACGGUAGCUAAUACCGCAUAAYGUCGCAAGACCAAAGAGGGGGACCUUCGGGCCUCUUGCCAUCAGAUGUGCCCAGAUGGGAUUAGCUAGUAGGUGGGGUAACGGCUCACCUAGGCGACGAUCCCUAGCUGGUCUGAGAGGAUGACCAGCCACACUGGAACUGAGACACGGUCCAGACUCCUACGGGAGGCAGCAGUGGGGAAUAUUGCACAAUGGGCGCAAGCCUGAUGCAGCCAUGCCGCGUGUAUGAAGAAGGCCUUCGGGUUGUAAAGUACUUUCAGCGGGGAGGAAGGUGUUGUGGUUAAUAACCGCAGCAAUUGACGUUACCCGCAGAAGAAGUCACCGGCUAACUC
rnacentral:rRNA from 1 species